rnacentral:rRNA from 1 species
GACGAACGCUGGCGGCGUGCUUAACACAUGCAAGUCGAACGGAAAGGCUCCAGCUUGCUGGAGUACUCGAGUGGCGAACGGGUGAGUAACACGUGGGUAAUCUGCCCUGCACUCUGGGAUAAGCCUGGGAAACUGGGUCUAAUACUGGAUAUGACCUUUCUCCUUAUGGGGUUUGGUGGAAAGUUUUUCGGUGUAGGAUGAGCCCGCGGCCUAUCAGCUUGUUGGUGGGGUGAUGGCCUACCAAGGCGACGACGGGUAGCCGGCCUGAGAGGGUGAUCGGCCACAUUGGGACUGAGAUACGGCCCAGACUCCUACGGGAGGCAGCAGUGGGGAAUAUUGCACAAUGGGCGGAAGCCUGAUGCAGCGACGCCGCGUGAGGGAUGACGGCCUUCGGGUUGUAAACCUCUUUCAGCAGGGACGAAGCGUAAGUGAUGGUACCUGCAGAAGAAGCACCGGCUAACUAUGUG